rnacentral:rRNA from 1 species
UACGGAGGGGCUAGCGUUGUUCGGAAUUACUGGGCGUAAAGCGCACGUAGGCGGCUUUGUAAGUUAGAGGUGAAAGCCCAGGGCUUAACCCUGGAAUUGCCUUUAAGACUGCAUCGCUAGAAUCGUGGAGAGGUGAGUGGAAUUCCGAGUGUAGAGGUGAAAUUCGUAGAUAUUCGGAAGAACACCAGUGGCGAAGGCGACUCACUGGACACGUAUUGACGCUGAGGUGCGAAAGCGUGGGGAGCAAACAGGG